rnacentral:lncRNA from 1 species
GAAUUGCACUUGACAGAGGGAGAGGAAAAUGCCUGCAGUCUGCAGCAUAGGAGGAAAAAAAGGUUUUCUUUUCUUCUAUGUAUGUAAAAGGUCUUUAAUGCCCGUUUAGUUACAUGUUUUAUUUAGCAUUAUUUAUUACUUGUAACGACAAUAAUUGAUACCUGUAAAAAUACGUCCCCUCCCCUGAAAGUAUUUAACUUGCAAUUUGUUCCUUUGCCUGGCUUUCCCAUUUUCAAACCUAUCCCUGGUGCUGUACCCCUGCCCCCACCCCUACAAACAUCGCUUCCACUUUCCUAACAGAAACGGCCAAAAGAUUGUAUUCUCCAUGGAGAACGAUCAUUGUAAGGGUAGCUAAACAUGACACUUCUUCCGAAAAUUGUGUUUCAUAACCAACAGUUCUCUUGUGCCGCUCUUCUGAAUAUGAAUUCGUGUGAUACACAAUCAAUCAGGACGUGAAGAUUACUUUUGAUUAAGCAAAUUCUCCGAGUGUGCCGUGCCUAUGAAAUAGAGCGUUAGCAAAAAUAAUACGAAAGUACAGCGCUGUUUCCAUUACAUAACCAACUAUCAAAUCAUGACUGCUCUUUAUACAUUUGGAUCCAUCCCAAACCCAUUGUUCUUCAAGGCAAGAAAAAGUAAUUACUUGUUAUUUGACUACUCCUCGUCGUGGCCAUUUGAGUUAACUCUGCAUUACUUCCCCAAAUAAAUGGUCUAAGAAGUUCUAUAUGCUUAAAUACCUAGGCUCUCAUUUAUCAUUUUUUUUUUAAGUCUGGUAUUUUCCACCUCGCCAUUCACCUCCUAAGAUAUCUGUAGCCAGUGGGCCAUUGCAAACAACUCUGCUCUGCUGGUUGCUUUGCCGUUCUGGAAAUUGUUUGAUUUCCUUCUUAAGGUGGAGAAAGUGGUUGUAAAAGAGGCAGUAUGUUAAGCGGGUAUCUUCUGAGCUUGGUGUUGAAUAUCUGCUCGAUCUUUUGUCUCGGGGGUCAGAGAGAAGCUGGACAAUGGGUGGUACUCCAUCCUGAGCUGUUUCAACAGCGGCAUUAAGCACCACUGAUGUUGGCUGUGGUGGAACCACGUCACCUUGAGUGUGAACGGGCAACUCGGCGGAGAAAUAGAGAACUUCUGAAGUUCAAGUUUUAUUCUGUUGGGAGACAACUUCCCUACUAGAGGCCUUGCUCCACUGGCUGACACGGAGACGCCGAAAUCCUAUUUCUACAUUGUAAGUGAGGCAGAGAGUUGGGUAAUUAUCUGGCCAGUUUUGGUAUGGAGAUGGUUCAGAUUCUAACCUUCCCACCACUUCCUUAAUUAUCUGGA